UCCUGGCUCGGAUUGAACGCUGGCGGGAUGUCUUACACCUGCAAGUCGAACGGCAGCAUGAUCUAGCUUGCUAGAUUGAUGGCGAGUGGCGAACGGGUGAGUAAUACAUCGGAACGUGCCCUGUAGUGGGGGAUAACUAGUCGAAAGAUUACCUAAUACCGCUUACGACCUGGGGGUGAAAGCGGGGGACCGCAAGGCCUCAUGCUUUAGGACCGGCCGAUGUCUGAUUAGCUAGUUGGUGGGGUAAAGGUCCACCAAGGUGACGAUCAGUAACUGGUCUCACAGGACGAUCAGACACACUGGCACUGCCACUCGGCCCAGACUCCUAUGGGAGGCUGCAUUGGGGAAUUUUGGACAAUGUGGGCCCCCUGAUCCUCAAUGCCGCGUGUGUCAAGAUGCCCUCCGUUUGUUAAGCACUUUUGUCCCUAAAGAAAUCCCAUUUACUAAUAUUAGGUGUGGAUGACUAUCCCGGAACAAUAAUGUCCGGCUAACUACGCGCCUCCCCCGUGGUACUACGUA
rnacentral:rRNA from 1 species